rnacentral:lncRNA from 1 species
GCGAUGCGGAAAAUAAAUAAAGUAAAAGCGAUGCGGGAAAUAAAUAAAAUAAAAGCGAUGCAGGAAAUAAAUAAAAUAAAAGCGAUGCGGGAAAUAAAUAAAUAAAGCGAUAAAUAAGAACCUGCUCCAAACGGAGGCUUCGAUUCUGGUACAAAAAUAAACCUCCAACUCCUGAAGCUAAAGACGACAGCAACUCGAAGUGACCCAACUCAAUCUCACAAAGGUGCGAUA